CCAACGGCCCUCUUUAGGGCCACAAAUUUGUAGUCGAAUGCUGUU
rfam:Oesophagostomum dentatum strain OD-Hann O_dentatum-1.0_Cont21978.1, whole genome shotgun sequence.